rnacentral:rRNA from 1 species
GAUGAACGCUGGCGGCGUGCCUAAUACAUGCAAGUCGAGCGAACGGACGAGAAGCUUGCUUCUCUGAUGUUAGCGGCGGACGGGUGAGUAACACGUGGAUAACCUACCUAUAAGACUGGGAUAACUUCGGGAAACCGGAGCUAAUACCGGAUAAUAUUUUGAACCGCAUGGUUCAAAAGUGAAAGACGGUCUUGCUGUUACUUAUAGAUGGAUCCGCGCUGCAUUAGCUAGUUGGUAAGGUAACGGCUUACCAAGGCAACGAUGCAUAGCCGACCUGAGAGGGUGAUCGGCCACACUGGAACUGAGACACGGUCCAGACUCCUACGGGAGGAAGCAGUAGGGAAUCUUCCGCAAUGGGCGAAAGCCUGACGGAGCAACGCCGCGUGAGUGAUGAAGGUCUUCGGAUCGUAAAACUCUGUUAUUAGGGAAGAACAUAUGUGUAAGUAACUGUGCACAUCUUGACGGUACCUAAUCAGAAAGCCACGGCUAACUACGUG